CACUUCAUUUUGGAUAGUAGAACAGUUGGGUUCUCCUCUCUGACUCUGUGAUGUCAAGUCGGGGGGCUGCACAACUGUACUGGGCCACACAAGGUCUUCUUAUUUAUGGUUUGAUAUUCUUGCUUCGUGCCAUAAAUCAAUUGUAGUCGUUAAUAUGUUCUGGCAUUGUUUUCAAUCAUUAUGUUGGUUGUGAGAAGAUAAUUCAGAGGGUUUGUUGUGGGGGGGUGGUGAUGGUGUUUGUUUGUUUGCUUGUUUAAUGUUUACUUUUGAGAAAGAGACAGAGUACAACAGGGGAGGGGCAGAGAGGGAAUGAGACACAGAAUCUGAAGCAGACUCCAGGCUUCAAGCUGUCAGCACAGAGCCUGAUACGGGGCUCGAACUCACGAACUUUGAGAUCAUGACCUGAGCCAAAGUCAGAUCUUUAACCCUUAACCAAAUGAGCCACCCCGUGCCCCUCGUGUUUUUUUUUUUUUUCUCCUGCCCUUAGGGAGUUCACAGUUUAUUUUAUUAUUAUUAUUAUUAUUAUUAUUAUUAUUAUUUUUGAUAGACAGGGAGAGAGAGCGAGCAUUCAGGGAAGGGGCAGAGAGAGGGAGAGAAAGAAUCCCAAGCAGGCUCCACACUGUCAGUGCAGAGCCUGAUGCAGGGCUCAAACUCACAAAUGGUAAGAUCAUGACCUGAGCCAAAAUCAAGAGUCAGUUGCUUAAAUGACUGAGCCAACUGGUGUUUGUCUUUUUUUUUAAUUUUUUUUUUUUUUUUUUUUUUGAGAGAGAGACACACACAGAGUGUCUCUGGGGGAGGGACAGAGAGAGAGGGAGACACAGAAUCUGAAGCAGGCUCCAGGCUCUGAGCUGUCUGCACAGAGCCUGACGUGGGGUUUGAACCCAGGAACCAGGAGAUAAUGACCUGAGCCCAAGUCAGACCCUUAACUACUGAGCCACGCAGGCGCCCCAUCAGGUGUUUGUCUUUAAUAAAGAUUAUCCAUGACUUCUUCCGAAACUAUCCCAGGGUAAUCAGCACAUAAUUUUGCUCAAUGAUGAAAAUAGCAGUGCCCUGUGAAACCUCUUUUGUGCCAGGGACUCUAAGUGAGCCGAAGCUAUAUUGUGAGUGCAUCUGUAAAUGGCUGGGCCUGAACAGGAAUGAAUAAGGGGACUGUCAGGGGGAUGUGAAUCCCAGUCACAUUACCCCCUCUUCUAGCCUCAUCCAGCCUUUAUUGCAGCCAUGAGCUCAUUGAGGGCAUGGUUUUGCCUUUCUGAGUUGUUCACAAGCUAUUAAAGUGUUUGUAAUAGUGGAAGCCAAAAUCAGAUACUUCUCCACCCUAUGAGUUUGGAGUCACUUGAAAAUGUGCAGGGAUUUCCGGAAUUGCUAGUUUAUGUCGAACCCUUAAAAGGGCUUGUGCUUUUAGAGGAAUCUAAAUAGUCAGGAGACUAUUAGUCAGGAAUCCUGACCUGGUGAGCAGUUUUCAUCUGCUUUCAGAAUAUGACUAAAGUUUUUCUUCAGCAGGCUUUAUCAGAGUCAGAAGAUAUGUGGUAAUAAAGCCAUGAUACUGAGACAAGGGUAACAACAGUCCAAUGGUGAAGCAGAGGGAGUCUGGAAAAUUCUGGAAAUCUAGGUAAGGGAGGAAGGCCCAGAAUCUAGAAGGCCAGGAAAUCUGCCAGAUUUGGUAAGUGGUUUACAAAAUCCACCAUAUCUCGAAGUAGGCCGCCGACGAGUUUUUGACGGUGCUACCUGUUUUUCCAAUCUUUUCAGUCUUUGCAAUUGGUAUGAGUUGAGAAAAGUUAGUAUCUUUCCAGAUAAGAGGUUAAUGCCGUGGGAUUUAUGCAGUGGUUUCCAAAUUAUGGUCCUUGCACAAGCAGUGUCUUUACCAUCCGGUUCAUUGUUGGAAACGCAAGUUCUUGGGCCUGGUCGGACCUACUGACUCAGCAGUCUGUGUUAACAAGUUUCCAGGUGAUUCUGAGGCAUGGUCAGGUCACAGCACCACCCCGUCUCCAUGCCUUCAGUGGAUUCCAGCCCCAGGAAGGUGGGAUUUCCAGAACUCUUUGGUGAGAGGCAGUGGAGAUCAGAGCCUGGUCUUCAAGCUCUUUUAGUAGCAAAUGCUUACGUGGCCCGUUGAGCUGGGGUGGUGCAAUUCGGCCACAAAGCCAACCACAAUUUUUCGGUUUUUUUUCUAAAGCUCUGGAAGGUAUCUCGCCUCUUUUAGUAUAAAAUACUCCUGAGCCUAAGAAGGGCAGUACUGACUUCAUAAAGCAAAGGAAAAAGGGCAAUUCUGGGAAACACCAAGAUACAUACCUGACUCAUGGUGAUUAAGUUGACAACAUGAACAUCACUGGGCCCCAGGGGGAACUUAUGUGAUGAUAUUAAAUGAAAAUGUAUCCAAAUGAUUGUGCAUAAACAUUAAAUAUGGAUGGAGAGUUACCAUGAAACUGUUGAAUUUCAGGAAAGGCAAUUUUCGUUUGCAGAAAUUACAUUUUUAACUCUAUGGCGGCUCAGAGGCAACAUCAGGAGACUAUAAGCAUCAUGGGAGUUUUGCCCAUGUAGCCUGGGAUCGGUUGUAACAGGUCCGAGGUGAGAAUCAAAUUGUAUGAAAAUGGAAUGUGAAACCUGUCUUGCAAAUCAUUGUAUUUGUGUAGUCCUUCAGAUUAAAAUGAAUUCAUUAGGUAAUGCAAGGAAUUCUAGUUGGGAUAUGGAAUUUUAUGACUAUUCUCCUUUAUAAAUGUAACCAGAAUGGAUUAGGUGGCCACUGGGUAGACGUAAGUGUAAUAAUGUUCUCUUUAGUGAAAUAGCUUGCGGAAGAAUCAGUCGCCUUAGUAUGAAGGGCGAGGAAGCUUUUGGACCACAGACUUACACCAACAUGAAAUGAUCCAAAAUUAAAAACAAACUAUACCUCAAGCCAAACUCAAGGCUUUCUAAAAAAUGAGAACCCUUAUAUGCAUAAUGGAGAAACCAUCUAUAAAACUAAAAAUAUCACCUUGGGGAUGCCUUACCUUUGGGAUAUGAGGCUCUCAAUCUUUUAAAAUUACCCCUUCCCUUGCAUGGAUAUUACAUGCUGAACAAAAUUAGAGAACUCUUUCUGGCUGAUCGGCUUCCCUCUCAGGCUAUCCUGAAAGGUGAAAUUAUUUUUUAGAAGGCUGGAUAUAAUAUCAGACACCGACUAACAAAAGAGUUUCUCAACUCCUCAUGUGUCUCCUCUGUGACUGAUCCUUCCCAUUAUAUCUUUCAGGAAUAAAUUGUGACUUAGAUUUCCAUGCGUCAUUUUUGUAAACAAUAGUCUAUUAAAUCUUUUAAUAAAAUAUGUGCUGGCUGCUACUAGAAAAAACUGGAGUAAUACAUCUUCCUUGGAGUUCUAGUGAGGGUUCUUUUAUGUUAAUAGUGUUCUUUUUAACAAAUGAAGCUUCAGGGUAAAACUCCAUUCAGUAACACCUAUGGGAAAUAAAUGAUAAGCAAUAAACCGUAAUCAGAAAUGCAAUCAGAAAACAGGGAAACAGGCUAGCUUUUAACUUAAAGCUGGUUUUUUACCUCAUAGGACAUAAGCUGAUCCAGGAAAGCUGGAGAUAUACAUCUAUAUGUAGUUAUUAAAUUAGGCAAGAGCACCUCUUCCUAUAGCAGGCCAAAGUCUUUAUAAUUUACAGUAAGGCAAGGGAACUUAAAACAGAUGAAAUGGAUAUGUUCCUUGAAAAAUAUAAAAUGGCAGAACUAGUGCAAAUAUAGAACACUUGAAUAGAACCAUCAAUAUUAAACAAAUAUUUCAGGAGGCUUCCCCUCCCUGGGACCCCAGGCUCAAGUUGUUUUACAGCUCUCCAGAAGACUAGAACUCUGUAUGCUCUGGAUUGGAGACCUAGAGGGGUAAGCGGGGACCACCGAUGAACAAGGGGAGUGGUCCUCUGAAGGUGAAGCUGGGCCAUGAAAAGAGGUACCUGAAGCCUGGGAACCACCAAAUAUCAGAACUGGGAGGGACCACAGAGACCACAGUUUCCAGAUUAUUGUACCAUCACCUCUCUGACCAGGCUGAGUGAAUGCCCUCUUCACUAGGUGAGGUUGUAACUACCUGUUAGCCACUCUCUCCUAGGACAGCUGGGACAGAAGGUCCUUUCUGGGACUGAGCUGAAAUCUACUUCUCUGGGGACUAACCAGAGAACAUGAUCUGUCUGGUUGAGGCGCUAACCCCGGGAAGUGAACAGCAACCAGCUGGGAAAAAAACAGAGCCUUCAGGUCUGUGGUGCAGAGGUUAUACAACCAGUGCUAAAUCUGUGCUGGCUUUCACACACCUGGGGCUUGAAGCAGAUGGAAACAGAUCAAGGACGUGUAGGGUCCUGACCACAGGAGCCAAUGGCAGCUGGGUUUUCUGCUUUGCAUACACCUGCUGUUGCUGGAUAGCACAGGGUAUGAAUGUGAGAGGCUUCUCUAUUACAUAGCUGUCUCCCCUUAUCCGCGGUUUUACUUUCUGUGGUUUCAGUUACUCUCGGUCAACAAAGUCCAGAAGAAGAUGGUCCUUCUUCUGACAGCAGUAUACGUAGCCGAAUGCUACAUCACAAAGCCUGUGUCAUUCACCUCGAUUCAUUUUACUGCACACGCAUGGUAUCAUCUCACGUGGUCCCGAGAAGAAGGCUGAGUAUAGUACAAUAAAAUAUUUGAGAGGGAGAGACCACAUCCACAUAAAUUUUAUUGCAGUAUGUUGUUAUAAUUGUUCUAUUUUAUGAUUAGAUGUUGUUAAUCUCUGAAUGUGCCUAAUCUAUAAAUUAAACUUUAUCAUAGGUGUGUAUGUAGAGGAAAAAAUGUAGCCCAUAUAGGAUUUAGUACUGUCUGCGGUUGCUGGCAUCUACUGGGAGUCUUGGAACAUAUUCUCCACCGAUAAGAGUGAACUGUUGUCCAGAUACCGUUUCUCUAUCAGUCCAUGGAGAGGGAUUCCCGCCAGAAAGACUGUAUCUAGGAAUUAACUUAUUCAAGAUUAUGCACACGCUCUAUGGAGACAAGUUUAAAAUGUGUUUCUUUAAUUAAGUAAAAGACAGGAUGCAGAUACAUGUUGGGUUUUAUUUUGUGAAAUUUGGCCUCACCUUUGCCUUCGGCUUGUCAGUUGUGCUCUCACAGAAGUUCCUCUGGGUUUGUACCCUUCCUGAAUUCCAUAUAUGCGUUGUGCAGAUUUCCGUGGCCCUUGUGAGCAGAGGGAGCAAGGACAAAUUGGUGGAUGUUAUGGAAAGGGAGGUUGAGCCUCAAGGUAAGGAAAAGCCUUUAAAAAUCAGAACGGUCUCAACAUGGAAUGGAUUUCCAUGGAAGGUUAGGGAAUUUCCUUUAAAAAUUUUUAAAAAAUAGUUAUUUAUUUUUGAGAGAGAGAGAGAGAGAGAGCUAGCGCGUGACAGGGAUGGGCAGAGAGAGAGGGAGACACAGAAUCUGAAGCAGGCUCCAGGUUCCGAGCUGUCAGCACAGAGCCCGAUGCUGGGCUCGUACUCAUGAACUAUGAGAUCAUGCCCUGAGCUAAAGUCAGUUGCUCAACUGACUGAGCCACCCAGGUGCCCCAGGUUAGGGAAUUUCUUGUCACAAGAGGUGUGUCAGAUGUGCCUGCUUGAUCAAGGUGUGGAUGGUGGAGUCCAGGGACCGUGGACCCUCCUGACACAUUAGCAUCAUCUGGAGAGGUUUUGGUACCCUCCCCCAGUGCUUGCCCCUGCCCUCAGAUAUUCUUAUGUAAUUGGUUUGGCAUGGGAGUAGACAUCACUUUUUUUUUUUUCCACCAAGCUCUCUGGGUGAUUCCAAUGUGCCCCGUAGCUGAGAGCAUCUUAAAAAAAAAAAAAAAAAAGAGGGGUGCCUGGGUGGCUCAGUUGGAUAAGUGUCUGACUUAGGCUCAGGUCAUGAUUUCUUGAUUCAUGAGUUCAAGCCCCGGAGUCUGCUUGGGAGUCUCUUUCUGCCUCUGCUUUUCUGUCCCUCUCUCUCUCUCUCACAAUAAAGAAGUAAAUAAAACAUAAAAAAAAAAAUGAAAGGGAAUUUCAGGUUAGGAAGUUUGGGUUUAACAACAGAAAGUUCUUCUCUGACGUGAUAGUAUUUUAAGUUCCUAUUUGGUAUGAGGAUUGUGCUCAGGUGCUUUUUGAGGCCAACUUGCUCUUCCUCACCUGUUUUCCUUCAUCUGGGCUGUGUCCCGAGGCCACCUGGAGCUGUCUUUGUGGAAGGAGGGAGCUUGCCACUCUUGAGGCUGCUCUGACUUGGGCCGCUGGUUUUCGCUCCCUGGCGAAAGAUGGCCUGAAAGUGCCCUCUUACCUUCCCGCACUGGAAAUCACAGCACUCUCUCCGAAGGGACAAUUUUCUGUGGAAUUGGCUAUUUAACUAGCAGCUCGAGAUUGAAAAAAACACGUUUCACUGUGGAAAGGCCAUCGACAGUAGGCGUGAGUGUACAAUUUUCUUUUUUGGGGGUGCAUAUGCGGAACGGGUUUAGUAAAUCCCAGAUUCCCGUUUUCUUAGGCAAUUGGAAAAGACAUUAAGGUAUGACGACAAGGUCCUCCAUCUGGGGGCACCUGUUAAUUAUUUGCAACCUGCAAGGACGAAGAUAAGUUUGGGAAGAGAAGGAGGGUGAGGGCAGACAGGGUGAGAAAUCGGCCGCAGAACCCCAGCUUGUAAUGGGAGUUAUCACCUCAAGUCCCCUCCCAAGAGUUUGCCUCCUGUUUUUCUGCAGAGAACUUAGCGUGAAAUUUCGUUUCUCCGAUGCUCCUUCCCCUCUGUCCUUUUCAACUCACUGUUCUGUCUUUUCAGCUCCCCUGUAGGUAGGCUGGCUUUGCUGUGACACAGCGCCAUUUUAUAGAGUUAAUUCUUCUCUUGCCUGCUUUCAGGAAAAAGAUCAGGGCUUGACAUUAUAACAGGACUCUUUAAAUGCCUGGGAGGGGGUAAGGUUCACUAAAAUAAAAUCAGUUGCUUGGACGUGAGUAGCAACAAGUCUCACUCCCAAACCUUCCUACCAUUAAAAUGUUAAAUGUAAACAAGAUGGACCCUGACGUUACCUUAAAUACAUGCCUUCCUUAAAAACAAAACAGAACAAACCUAAUUUUCAGGUAAAAUUUCCCAGCUGGUUUCAUAGGUUUCUCUUCUUAACCUGAUUAAGUGGCCAUAUAUUCCUUCCUCAAUCCUUGGUGGAGUGUGGUGAGGUGCAUGGGAAUGAAAAAUUCACCGUGUGAAGAAAAUUCUGUUACCUCGCUGGUAGUGAGCCAACCUUUGCUGGGUUGGCUUUAGUGAGCCAUGGCCGAAAGUGAUGCUCUCCACUUAGCCCCCGAAUUGCCCUCCUGGAGCCACAGUGACUGGGUCACACGUGGCUGGAGCUGUAGAUGAUGAGGAGGAGAAUCUGAAGGAUGGGAGCAGGCGCUUCUUAUUCAUGGAAUGAAACCCUGUCUUUCUAAGAGAACAAAAGCCAGUUUAUGUUAGUAUGGAUUGCUUUUUAAUUCAUAUGAUUUUAGGGAGGGAGACAAAAAUGCUCACACAAAACAAGACAUGCUAGGCUCUUCAGAACUUCUGGGUGGUGUGCAGUGCCCAGAAGCUUCUAGAGAACAAAACACAGUAAUGGUUGUAAGGGAGGGUAGGUGAGGGGGUGUCAGCUUUGGCCUUGAUCUACUCAGAGGUUUUGCUUUAGAAGUCUGGUUCCUGAAAGGUCUAGGGAUGGAUAAAUGCUGUGGCUCCAGGAAGGUCUUAGCAGUUCUGGGCUCCCUUACGAAUCAUUUGCUGGACUGUAAGAAGUAGGCAUAAAGAAUUUCCUAAUCAAGAGUCAGUGCCCUGUGGCCUGGUGGACAUUGACAAUGUUGGCAUGAUCCAUGUAACAGAUAAAACACCUCCAUUUGAAGCUUCUGGAAGGCUUUCCUCAUUGGAGGGUGCAGGCACCACCAUUACCUGGAGAUUCUUCGAAGCAGGAGGAAACGUGGUGUCCAGAAAGAGGUCCUCAGACUACCAAAGCUCCCUACCCUCUGGGUCCCGGCUGCCUGAGCCUUUUGGUUCAAUUUGAAAACUAAGCCCCCACCUCAAUUAGCUCCUGGUGAGUAAGUGGCGGCUGUUGAGAACCGUGUUAGGGGAUGUGAUGCAAAUGAGUUUUAAUAAUUAGGCAAGUUUGAACUAUUUUGAUUCAACUCAGAUGAUCCCAGAACUGUCUGAUGAAGAAAGACACAGUGAAUGUAAAUAGUGCCUUGGUGUAUAUACGCCUGAUAUCCUUUACAUACAUAUGAGUGCCCAUCUUUAUAUGCAGAUCAUUGAUCUUUUCUAGCUCUUGUUAUCAUCAGUUUAAGCAAUCCCUCCACUUAGGUUUUUAUUUUCAUGUGACCUGAAAAUGAAAAGAAAAAUGAACUGAAAAGAAAAAUGUGGAUGCCCUCCCAAUAAUGUUCUUGGAACAGUCUGAUUCUGAGUGUCUGCCUCCUGGAGGAUCUCCCUGGGACUGUUCCUCCUGGCCUCCCCUAUCCCCCUGCUAGAGGUUUCUACACGGCGGGCCCACCUCCAGCAUCUCAGCCCUGGUGGGUAUCCUUGUUUCCAGACGGCUAUGGCACUAUCAGGAGAUUCUGUUCUUCUUCUAGGAAAUGUUACAGCCUUCCCCAGAGCUGUGUCCUAUAACUACAGAGACCACAGGGCCUGUGGGGAAAUAUUUUCCCUUUGUUUUAGCUGAACACAGGAUAGUUGGAGCAAAACUGAAACUGCUACUGAGAAAGAAGAAAAGCACGGCUAUUCCGUGGGCAACCAGUCAUUUCUGUCCCACUUCAUUUUCAUUUCUGGAAAAAUCUUGAGUUUAUGAAAGUAAAGUGCCUGUUGAUAAUACAGACAGUAAUCUGGUCCCCAAGGCAAAGAUGGUUUCAGUAUCUCCCAAGACCUCUCAAAGCAACCACACAAACCAAUGAUGGUUUUGCAUCACAGUGUGUGUGUAUGUGUGUGUGUGUGUGUAUACAUAUACAUAUAUGUGUGUAUAUAUAUAUAUAUAUAUUUUUUUUUAACACGACUGAUCUUCUGCCCUUUGGUCUAGUUUGGGGAGAAGUUUGUACCCCUGGAAAGGAAAUGAAAGGAAAAAGAGAUGAGGCUCUAUUAGUAACUACUGUAUCCCUGUGAAUGGAAUCUCUUGGUUUGAACCAGUGUCCCCGUUUAACAGAUAAGGAAAUUGAAGCUUAGAGAGAUUAAGCCCUUUUGCUGCAGGUGUUUGUUGAAUACCUGUAAGUGCACAUUCUAAGUGUUUGGGACUCAUUCAUUAGUGAUGAAAACAGGGUUUUCUGGCUCAGGGGCCAAGUUCCCACCUGCAGGCACAGAAUGGAGACUGGAAGGCAAGUGUCUUAAAUGCACUUUGCCACAUUGCUUAGGGCCAAAAGGACUGGACCUUUAAGGUUAUUUGAAAUUAAAGUUAAAAAAAAUACUGUGAUGCAAAAUCAUCAUUGGUUUGUGUGGUUGCUUUGAGAGGUGUUGGGAGAUACUGAAACCAUCUUUACUUUGGGGACCUGAUUGACCUCCAGGUCAAAAGACAAUUUGGUAAUACCUGCUGACUACCUUCCAGUUCCCAUCCACCCAACUUUGGCCUUUUUUCCUUUUCUUCUUCUUCUU